UUGAGUCAAUAUUAAUCUUUUUUGAAGUUUCUAAUUUUAUAAAUAUUUGAAAUUUAUAAUAAAAUGACAAAUUUGUGUUUAAUUUCACGGGACGGGGUUAUAUGGUGUGACGAGUUUGAGUGGAUAAUAACAUGGGAUAGUAUGCUAUGGAAAAAAAAAUAU
rnacentral:sRNA from 1 species